ACGCACGCUGGCGGCAUGCCUAACACAUGCAAGUCGAACGAGAUCUUCGGAUCUAGUGGCGCACGGGUGCGUAACGCGUGGGAAUCUGCCCCUUGCUUCGGAAUAACAGUGAGAAAUUACUGCUAAUACCGGAUGAUGUCUUCGGACCAAAGAUUUAUCGGCAAGGGAUGAGCCCGCGUAGGAUUAGGUAGUUGGUGGGGUAAUGGCCUACCAAGCCGACGAUCCUUAGCUGGUCUGAGAGGAUGAUCAGCCACACUGGGACUGAGACACGGCCCAGACUCCUACGGGAGGCAGCAGUGGGGAAUAUUGGACAAUGGGCGAAAGCCUGAUCCAGCAAUGCCGCGUGAGUGAUGAAGGCCUUAGGGAUGUAAAGCUCUUUUACCAGGGAUGAUAAUGACAGUACCUGGAGAAUAAGCUCCGGCUAACUCCGUG
rnacentral:rRNA from 1 species